UUAUAGCUCGGUCGGUAGAGGAUGAGACUCUUAAUCUCAGGGUCAGGGGUUCAAGCCGCACAUUGGGCAAAA